UNUGACUUGAGUGCAGAAGGGGAGAGUGGAAUUCCAUGUGUAGCGGUGAAAUGCGUAGAUAUAUGGAGGANCACCAGUGGCGAAAGCGGCUCUCUGGUCUGUCACUGACGCUGAGGCUCGAAAGCGUGGGUAGCGAACAGGAUUAGAUACCCUGGUAGUNCACGCCGUAAACGAUGAGUGCUAGGUGUUAGGCCCUUUCCGGGGCUUAGUGCCGGAGCUAACGCAAUAAGCACUCCGCCUGGGGAGUACGACCGCAAGGUUGAAACUCAAAGGAAUUGACGGGGGCCCGCACAAGCGGUGGAGCAUGUGGUUUAAUUCGAAGCAACGCGAAGAACCUUACCAGGUCUUGACAUCCCGAUGCUAUUCUUAGAGAUAGGAAGUUACUUCGGUACAUCGGAGACAGGUGGUGCAUGGUUGUCGUCAGCUCGUGUCGUGAGAUGUUGGGUUAAGUCCCGCAACGAGCGCAACCCUUAUUGUUAGUUGCCAUCAUUAAGUUGGGCACUCUAGCGAGACUGCCGGUAAUAAACCGGAGGAAGGUGGGGAUGACGUCAAAUCAUCAUGCCCCUUAUGACCUGGGCUACACACGUGCUACAAUGGUCGGUACAACGAGUUGCGAGCCGGUGACGGCAAGCUAAUCUCUGAAAGCCGAUCUCAGUUCGGAUUGGAGGCUGCAACUCGCCUCCAUGAAGUCGGAAUCGCUAGUAAUCGCGGAUCAGCACGCCGCGGUGAAUACGUUCCCGGGCCUUGUACACACCGCCCGUCACACCACGAGAGUUUGUAACACCCGAAGUCGGUGAGGUANCCUUUUAGGG
rnacentral:rRNA from 1 species